UGUAACACUGUGCAGGAGAGGUUAGAAGCCAAAAAUGAUUCAUGAAGAUACACAAAGACUGCAUAAUUCAUCAAACUUUCUUUUUUGUUUUCAUGCUUUGAUCAAGGUUUGUGUCAGCAGUAUGUUGGUCUACAGGUCGCUGAGGAAGUCGUCUCCAAAGGUAAUCAUCUGUCUCAGUGCGUUCAUUAUCAGUGCAUUCAUGUCAUCACUGAUGUUGGGAUCUGGAUCAUAGUUCUUCACAAGAAAGAUGCUGUUUAGUGGAAUGCCCAGCAACGUGUUUACUUUGUC